UACAGAGGUGCCGAGCGUUAGGCGGAAUCACUGGGCUUAAAGCGUGUGUAGGCGGAUGCCUAAGUACCUUGUGAAAUCCCACGGCUUAACCGUGGAACUGCUCGGUAUACUGGGUGUCUUGAGCCACUUAGGGGCUACCGGAACAAAUGGGUGGAGCGGUGAAAUGCGUAGAUAUCAUUUGGAACGCCAAUGGUGAAAACAGGUAGCUGGGAGUGUGCUGACGCUGAGACACGAAAGCCAGGGGAGCGAACGGG
rnacentral:rRNA from 1 species